rnacentral:lncRNA from 1 species
UACCGUUAGCCCCCCAUGCAUGGCCUCCUUUCAUAUUUAGUAGGUUAUCUAAGUGCAUGUCUAAAGGAAUUUUUAAAGGUGAUACAAAUUAAAUGUAUGUAGGGUUAACAUAUUGAAGUAGACGUCGAUAUACUCAAGAGUUUGCACAAAUUUUAGGGUUUUGAGAAUUUAGGCGUAUAAGAGAGUAACGGUAGGAGAAGGGGGAGGACACGAAAUGGGAAGAAGAUACCUUGAAAGCCGGAUGAUUUUGUCCCUAAGCCUUGUUGUAGAAAGAAGCUUGUUCCGAGCGAAGCAGACAGUUCGGCAAAGUGAGAGAAGCGUGAAAGAGAGAGAGGUUUUUCUUUGUUUGGGUUUGAGUAAUUUUUUUUAUUUCUCUUCCCUCUCUCAUACUGAUGUGGGUCGCCAACAAUGUCCCUAAACCCCGAUCGCCCCAGAAUUAUUGACAAACAAAUCACUUAAAAUAAAUAAAGUAAUACUAAUGACUCAGCUCAGCGCAUUACUAGCCCCCCAAUCCCUAGACUCUGAAGUCAAACUCUCGUCUCAACUCUCAAGUCUCAAACUCUCAAUCUGAAUCUCUCAAGUCUCAUCCCAAACCAAGAAUCCAGAUCUCGAAGACUCGAACUCGGAAUCAGAAGUCGGUGAGUCCUCCUUUUCUUAAUUUCUUCUUGUCUUCUUUCUCUUCUUUUGCUGCAACUUCUUCGUCUCUUUUCUCUCGAUCUCUCAUCCGGUCUGAUCUGAGUCUGACAUCUUCACUCAAUUCUUUGAAAGUACUAAUAUAAAAUGCAUAGAAUCGUAUAUAGUUUGCUGCUAAGCUGCUUAUAUAACGUAUUAGACCUUUAGAGGUAUAGGGUUUCAUUCUUAUUUUCAAUUGAAAUUAGACCUUUAGAGGUAUUGGUUGUGCAUAUUCAGUAUGACAGUAUAGGUUGUUGGUUUGUUUUCUUCAAAGUACUAAUUUUAUAUGUUACAUAUUAACUUUGUGAUGGAGUAAUUCAAUUUUGUUAUAAAUUUUUCACAUAUAAAUCAUUUUUCAUCCUCCAUUGGGAUUUGGGGGCAACAAAAUUCGUUUCAUUUUAAAUUGCAAUGGGUGCAAUCUGUAAAAUGUUGGUGCACUUGAGGGGUGAUUUGUAAGUCUAUUUCGUUUCAAGCAUCUCUACGAAUUCAGUUUCCUUCUAGGGGAUAUAUUAAGUUUAUCAAGUGAUGAUGUUGAUAAUUAAAUAUAUUACCUUCUAUUAAUUCAUGUUAAACUUCUGUUACUACAAGAUAUGAAACACAGGGAACAGUUUGAGCUAACUAAAUUUAAAUGCAAGAUAUUAAGGUUUCAAUAUAAUGUCCAAAGAAAACAAGGAAAAUGUUUCGGUAUUGCUCCCAUAAACUUUACUGCUCACCAGUACCAGAUAGUGAUUACUUAUUGUGGUCCUUCUACUACUCCACCAAGAAGUACCAAUCCAACCUAUCUAUCCCUUGUGCUUAUAAUUUCAUAUUUACCAUAUAUGAAAUUAAAUGCAUGGGAUAAUAUGUCAACUUCUUAAAUUUAACUGCGAGACAAAACAGUCAUGAGUAUAGAGCUCAAGUAAAUUUACUUGAGGUGAUGUAUGUGUAAGUUGCUCAAGUAAAUUUACAAGGGUAACCCAACUUAUCUCCUUUUGAUAUGUAUUACACACAGUUUAAGCUUAAUCCUUCCCUCAACAUAAUUAAAUUUACUUGAGGUGAUGUAUGUACCAUAUAGCUACUAUCAGUACAACAUUGCACAUUCAGAAUCCGUAGUUCUAAAUUGAAGGGAACCAAUAUAACCACAUCCAAAUAACAUGAAGAUCAAACAGAAUAUUGGGGCCGUGCACAAAACAAAAAAGUAAGGGUUAAUAAAGAAGAACGGACCACAAUAUGGGCUUUCUUUACCACUGAACACAAAUUACUUGCACAAUUAGUCAAUCCUUGAUUUAGUCAUAAGAAUUUCAACCAAAACAAGAGUUUGCACAAAUUUUAGGGUUUUGAGAAUUUAGGCGCAUAAGAGAGUAACGGUAGGAGAAGGGGGAGGACACGAAAUGGGAAGAAGAUACCUUGAAAGCCGGAUGAUUUUGUCCCUAAACCCUGUUGUAGGAGGAAGCUUGGCAGUACAAAAAUUUAAAGGUAUGUUCUGAGAGAGUAAUGGUAUGCAUACCUUGAAGGCUGCUAGAAGAGAGAAGGAAGGGAGCAGCUAAGCAGAGUGGAACAGCGGUAGGAAAGGUGAGUGGUAAAGAGAGAAGAGAAGGAACUGUUUGGUAAAGAGAGGGAAGUGAUAUGGCAUGAACUUGAGUUUUUUUAUGGAAAAGUCUUGGCGGACAGGUUUUGUAGACAGGACCGUGUAUCAACAAUAAUUCUACAGGACCGUGUAUUGGCGACUUUUUUUUAGGACAGGCUGAUGUGGCAGAGACAAAAAACACGGAAGCUACCCCACUUGCGUAUAAAUACUUUAUAUCAAGUUAUAAGCUUUUUUUUUUAGCUGUUAAAAAUGGCAGAACGGAGCAAAAAGCAAUGCCAGAGGAAAGAGCAAAGUUUACCCUUUUGGCGAGAAAGGGAGAGAGAGUG